rnacentral:misc_RNA from 1 species
UCAAAAGCAUCUUCAUCCUUUCCUCCUCCCUUCCUUCUGCUGCUGUAUGCCCUUUCCUCUCUUCUCCGCCCCCUAAUCACCACUCUUAUGGCUACCCACAACCUCCAAAACCAUACCCUCAACGGUGACCACUGUGAUUCCACCGUCCCCAGUUCAAAAAAGCCCAAACUUUCUUCCCCUGCCACCACCACCACCAUUAUCUCCCACAGCCAAAUCCAAUCUGAAUUCUCCCACCACGACCUAUCCAUCGCCCGCAUCAACAACGGAAGCUUCGGCAGUUGUCCUCAAUCUGUCAUCUCCUCCCAGAAACAGUGGCAGCUUCAGUUCCUCCGUCAGCCUGACCACUUCUACUACAACCAGCUUAAGCCUGGUAUCCUCCACUCUCGAUCCAUUGUUAAAUCUUUAAUUAAUGCUGACCACGUCGACGAGGUUUCCCUCGUCGACAACGCCACCACUGCUGCUGCUAUCGUCUUGCAGAAAUCGGCACGGUCCUUCUACGAAGGCAGAUAUGAUGAAGGGUAUGUUGCUGUAAUGCUUCAUUAUGCCUACGGAUCUGU